GACGAACCGAGCGAACGUUGUUCGGAAUCACUGGGCUUAAAGGGCGCGUAGGCGGGCUGCCGCGUCCGGGGUGAAAUCCUCCGGCUCAACCGGAGAACGGCCCCGGGUACGGGCGGCCUCGAGGGGGGUAGGGGCGUGCGGAACUGUGGGUGGAGCGGUGAAAUGCGUAGAUAUCGCUUGGAACGCCAAAGGUGAAAACAGGUUGCUGGGGUUGUGCCGACGCUGAGACACGAAAGCCAGGGGAGCAAACGGG
rnacentral:rRNA from 1 species